UCUCCGUUGGUGAACCAGCGGAGGGAUCAUUACAGAGUUCCACAACUCCAAACCCCUGCGAACCGUACCCAAGUUUGUUCUCCUUGCCUCCUGGCGGCGGGCCCCCGCGGCCACCGCCGGCGCCCCCGCCAGCGGCGGCGAGCACCCAAAACCUUUUUUUCUUACCCACCCCGUCUGAGCAAACAAACAAAUGCAUCAAAACUUUCAACAACGGCACACUUGUUACUGGCAUCGAUGAAGAACGUAGCAGAUCUGAAGAACACACGACAGAACUACAGC
rnacentral:misc_RNA from 1 species